UUGGAUACUCUGGCUGGAGAUAUAAGUGCCGAUGUGGGUCAGCUGGUCCGGACAAAAAAAAAAAGGGUCUAUCAGCUGGUAGCUUCUGGAGCGGCGAAACUAACUGAACAAAUCGCCUCUAAAUCAUCUGACGCUCCUCCCACACCCCGCUGCUGCUGCUUCUCGUUCUGUCUGUCCAGCAUCAAGAUGCGUGCGUUUUGAGAUUUUUGGAGGUGCGCAACGCGUUUGGUGUGAACGUAGCAUAAGGCUCAAAGUUAUCUGGCAAGCAGUAAAAACUCUACAGGAAGAAGAAACUAAAACGAAGCAAAAUUUGAAUGGAGAUUGGCGGCAAUGAAGAGCUGGAGAAGUGCAAUCCUACAGCAACUUUUCACCAUUUUUCCUAUUUUCCACGUAGAGGAACUCAUCCUAUUUCCCCCUCAAACCACUAUGUCAGCCUCUGUCUACAACAUGUCACGUGACAAAGUACCCGGCUGUUCGACUUUGAGAAUAGUAAGUAUUUGACACUGAGUAGACUGAAGUGGUAGGAGGAGGCAAGUGAUGAAAAUCUGAUGUCUAUCUUUAGCCAUUCAGUUCAAAGUGUGUCAUGAGGAUUGCAAAAGAGGCUCGAGCUAAAAUAAAGACAAAAACUGAAACAUACUGUAUGCAGUCUUUGGAAAUGUUGAUUAAAAUGGAAC